rnacentral:rRNA from 1 species
GAUGAACGCUGGCGGCGUGCCUAAUACAUGCAAGUCGAGCGAACAGACGAGGAGCUUGCUCCUCUGACGUUAGCGGCGGACGGGUGAGUAACACGUGGAUAACCUACCUAUAAGACUGGGAUAACUUCGGGAAACCGGAGCUAAUACCGGAUAAUAUAUUGAACCGCAUGGUUCAAUAGUGAAAGACGGUUUUGCUGUCACUUAUAGAUGGAUCCGCGCCGCAUUAGCUAGUUGGUAAGGUAACGGCUUACCAAGGCAACGAUGCGUAGCCGACCUGAGAGGGUGAUCGGCCACACUGGAACUGAGACACGGUCCAGACUCCUACGGGAGGCAGCAGUAGGGAAUAUUCCGCAAUGGGCGAAAGCCUGACGGAGCAAAGCCGCGUGAGUGAUGAAGGUCUUCGGAUAGUAAAACUCUGUUAUUAGGGAAGAACAAAUGUGUAAGUAACUAUGCACGUCUUGAAGGUACCUAAUCAGAAAGCCAAGGCUAACUAAGUG